rnacentral:rRNA from 1 species
CACGUAGGGUGCGAGCGUUGUCCGGAAUUAUUGGGCGUAAAGAGCUCGUAGGCGGUUUGUCGCGUCGGCCGUGAAAUCCUGCUGCUUAACGGCGGGCUUGCGGUCGAUACGGGCAGACUAGAGUUCGGUAGGGGAGACCGGAAUUCCUGGUGUAGCGGUGAAAUGCGCAGAUAUCAGGAGGAACACCGGUGGCGAAGGCGGGUCUCUGGGCCGAUACUGACGCUGAGGAGCGAAAGCGUGGGGAGCGAACAGG